UAGGGGAGGCACCCCCUGAGAUGUUCCUGGGCCUCUUAGUCUCACUGCUGACACUUAAGGGAUUGCAGAGACGCCUGAGAUGACCUCCAAAUUUUCUGAAGCCCAUCUGGUCUGGGGAAAAGAAGAUUCAGACUGAGGAGGCCAGGGCUCCUUCUCUCUUGCUCCCCAGGAGCCCAUGGGAAAUGUUGAAGUAGGGGGCCAGCAAGUCUAUUCCCUGGUGGACACUGGUGCUGAGAGUGUGCCCCUUGCCCCAGCCAGCCAGCCUAUCUUCCCUUUUGAGUGGACUGACCCAGUUUCCAGUGACUCCUGCCAGCUCACCUGGACGUGGCUGCCUCAAGGAUUCAAAAAUGCAUCCACCCUGUUUGGUGAGGCCCUCCAGAAGGUCUUGGUGAGUUUUUGAUCCAACCACCCUAACCUCACCCUGCUUCAAUAUGUGGAUGAUUUGUUAUUAGCUGCUAAUAGCUAUUCAGAAUGCCUGCAGGGGAUGUGAGAGCUUCUUCAGUUACUACAGGAGUUAAGCUACUGCAUAUCAACCAAGAAGGCACAACACUGAGCCUCUAAAGUAUUGUCCCUGGGGUAUGAAAUCUCAGAAGGAAGAAGAGCCUUGUCCUAGGCCAGGAAAAGGGCCAUCCUCUAGAUACCCACACCAACAACCAAGAAACAGCCUCGCCUAGUCUUCUCAGUAAGACAGGUUCUCAAUCCAGUUACACUGAUGCCAGAUGAUGAUCCACACAUGCCAAUUCAUGACUGUGAGGAGGUGCUGGACAAGACCCAGGGGGCCAAUUGGACUGAACAGACAUCCUCUCCAUUAAGGCAGAUGCCAUCCUCUUCACAGAUGGAAGCAGCAUGGUGAUGAAAGGCAAAGAGGAGAUGUUGAAUGAACACGCAGGACCAUUUUGGUUUGCAUAAGAAGAGGGAAUCACCUCAGUAAAGAAAGAGGUGAGACUCUUGUCUGACAGUGUGAAGGAAGCAGAGAUGAGAACAGGAUGUGAAACACUGAAGAUAAGAAAUGGUGGCGAAUUUCCACCAGAGGUCAUGAAGGUAUGGACUGGUAGGAGAACUGGCACUUCUGCAGGUGAUACUGCAGGGCAGGAGAUGCCACAAGCUGGCCCUGCUGAUCUCACUAGACUCUCAUCAAGGGAUCUUUUUCAAUUUUUAUUUUUUAUUAGUACAUCUUCACAGUACAUAAUGAUUACAACUUUUCUGUCAUUCUCUCAACUCAGGUUGAGUUCCUCUGGGUCCUCAGGUACAUCAAGCUCUGUUUUACCUCCCACCUUCACUGAGAAAAUGUGAGUUAUGCUCUUCUCUGUCCUCAGAAAACUUCAGUUGAUAUCUUUCUGCUGGGAAACUUCACUCAGCUCAGGCCCUGGUUAGCCUCUUUUGCUGUUUGUGCCUGCAACUCCCUAAGACUUCUUCUCAUGGUACACAUCACACCUGAUGAUUAAUAUUUAUAUAAUUGUUUCUCUAAUGUUGGAUCAUGAGCUCCAGAAGGAUGCGGUUGGUAUAUAUACUAAUCACUGCUCUAACCCAGGAUAUAGCACAUUUUUUGUAUGUACUAUAUACUCGAUAAAUGUCUUUUGAAUGCGUGAACCCUAGGCUUUGUCCUUGAUAGGAGACCGUUCUUCCACUAAGCAACAUCU